rnacentral:rRNA from 1 species
UACGUAGGUGGCAAGCGUUGUCCGGAAUUAUUGGGCGUAAAGCACGCGCAGGUGGUUCCUUAAGUCUGAUGUGAAAGCCCACGGCUCAACCGUGGAGGGUCAUUGGAAACUGGGGAACUUGAGUGCAGAAGAGGAAAGUGGAAUUCCAAGUGUAGCGGUGAAAUGCGUAGAGAUUUGGAGGAACACCAGUGGCGAAGGCGACUUUCUGGUCUGUAACUGACACUGAGGCGCGAAAGCGUGGGGAGCAAACAGG